AGCUUUGCGCAGUGGUAAUAUCUUAGCCAGUGAGGUUUAUCCGAGGCGCAAUUGUUGCUAAUUUGAAAAGAACAAUUUGAUCA
rnacentral:snRNA from 1 species